CCCUUAGACGUUCUGGGCCGCACGCGCGCUACACUGACGAAGGCAACGAGCUUUCCUUUACCGAAAGGUACGGGUAAUCUUUUGAAACUUCGUCGUGCUGGGGAUAGAUCCUUGCAAUUUUUGAUAUUAAACGAGGAAUGCCUAGUAAGCGCAAGUCAUCAACUUGCGUUGAUUACGUCCCUGCCCUUUGUACACACCGCCCGUCGCUACUACCGAUUGAAUGGUUUAGUGAGGCCUUCGGAUCCGCGACUCGUUUGUGGAGAAGUUGGACAAACUCAGUCAUUUAGAGGAAGUAAAAGUCGUAACA
rnacentral:rRNA from 1 species